rnacentral:tRNA from 1 species
UUAAGUAAAGCCAAAGAGAGGCUUAUCACUGUUAAUGAUAGAAUUGGGUCAACCCCCUUCUUGAA